UUUGAUAAUUCGUUUAAUCCGGAAAAUAUACCUGUACAACAAUAAUACAAUAAUAAUCGAGCGCCCUAUUAUUUUUUUAUAAUAUUCAUCAAUUGCCAUUGUGUGAUAUUGUUUAUAUGAACUAAUAGAGGCGACACGUUUUCGUGAAAAUCUCUUAUUGCAUUGGUGAAAAUGCGAACGGAAAAAUCGGUUAUUUCCAUAUAAUACAACUUAAUUCGAAAAAAAGAUACGGACUUCGCGCACGAUGGACGAGCCACUGUUGUAGGUGAGAAGUCGGAAGGUACAUACUAUAGUAUAUAGGAUAUAGAGUUGAAUUUAAUGUAUAUCCGUACGCAACGAUUAAUCUUUGCUGACGAAAAACGACUUUGAACGAGGUUCGGUUGUACAUGUUUUAAAAGGCCGCAAUAUUUACGUUUAGAAAAUAAUACUUUCGUAAAUUUUCCGGUUUUUCCGUUUAUUAUAAAAACAGCUGGGAAAAUCAAAAGACGACCCCGCUAAAGUACCACCCACCUAUACAGUCGGAUUUCCUUUCAACAAAUGUGCUUCACUUGAAAAUCGGAGCGAAAUUUCUGUUGGAAAAAAUGUCUAAAAAAAUAUUUUUAAAUACUCGCUAUACGUUCCGGAUCUAAACUAACAUGUUACUGUUUUUAUUUUAUUUUUUUUUAAUCAACACCGACCGGUUAGCAUAAAAUAACAGAUGGUUUAGUAUAACGUCUGAUGUUACGGUUUUCGUGAUAAUUAUUUUUAAACUCGAUUUAUACAUAAUGUACGUUUGCGUUAAACUUAAUAUAGGCGGUGCAAUAAUUAUAUGCCUAUAUAUUGUUAAUCGCGUUUAACCUGUAGAAAAUAUCGUAUCGACUUUAAUCCGAUUAACGAUUUUCACCGAUAUAGGCGUUCGGUACAUUAUUGCAUAAUCAUAAUGCAAUUAAUUAACAUCAUUACGGGUUUUGAUGUCGACGGUAUAGACGCCCGGUAGAAUAUUAAUAACGCGUGUAAAUGACUAAUCCGACAAAAAUGCGUACAAACUGUGUGUACACGAUAAAUCAGAAGAGUCAAUAUAGUCAAUUCUAAGAAUAGUGUUUUUUUUUUUUUUAUAAUUUUAUACGUCAAUAUUUAUAGAACACUUAUUUUUAUCUCGUCCGAGAUUGUAGAAUGUAUCAUCGUCAUCGUCUACCUAGUAACAAUAUCGUAACUAUAGAUGGUUAUUUUCACGAAAAAAAAAUGUAAUAUCAAUUCUGUAUUGUAGUAAUAAUGAUCGCUAAACGCUGUUCCCUUGAUAUACCGCGACAUUAUUAUUAUUGUUGUUAGAAUCUGAGCGAUUUUACAAAAGUGUUUAUUUUUUAUUUUUAUUUUCUUAUUCUGGGAGCGACUUUUUUAUACUAGAAAUCUUGCUCCGAUGUAUCAAGUGUAGUACCUUUUCUGAAAGGAAGGUUUAACCGGGCGGUACUUCAUUUUUCGAUUUGUCAAGCGGUUUUCGUAUAAUAAUUGGGAGAAACGUAGGAUAGGCGGAAAAAUGUACGUACGUGUAUAGAAGAAAUCCGACAUUUUUUCUACUUAAAGUCAUAAAUCGUCGUUACAGUUACACGAUGGCUAGUUCGCAACCAAAUAUAGAAAAAUAUUUAGUUUAUAUUUGUUUAAUAAAGGUCAGACCACUACAGUAUAACUUCGGUUUGCAAGCUUUAAAACGUUACUGUGCGAACGUAUUGGAUCAUUACAACACCCAAAAAAAUCGUACACACGGAAAAAAAAACAACACACAACGUUGUAAAAACAAUGUUUGUUUCAUUCCGGAACCAAAACUGUUCGAUUCAAUACGGUUUGAAAUAAUUGAAUAC